AGAAUAGAUACGUGUGAGCCCCGUGGGGCCUGUCAGAGAAGGGUGGAGAAGGAGGCUUGGGGACAGACUGAGAUAAAGGGAUGAUAAAGAAUAGCAGAAAGAGAUGAGGAGUGUGUAGUGGUAGGUGGGAAUGGAAGGCUUUAAGAUACUGUAGAAAGUAGAGUGGAAUCCGCGCCAAGACCUGUUUGAAAUGCCGAUUUUGCAGUUUUUUCCCUGCGUGACCAUGGGAUCCUCACUGACCCAGUUGAGUUGACCGACCCUCAGGGACAGGACUGGAGGACAGCUGGGAAUCAGAUCCCCCGCUCCAGGCAGCAGGGUCUCCUGAGCUCUCCCUGGGCCCACCAGGAUGCAGCACUGCCCACAGGGAUGCCGAGGCAUCAGCUGACCAAGGACAAGGAGGGCACCUUUGUGGGCACCAGACCCAGUGUCCUGCACCCCCAGAGACUGGCCUUCAGAGGAAACCACGUCCUGGGUGCAGAUCCCGACACUCAACGCCAGCAGGCCGGCAACUACUGGACGAGGGCCACAGCCUUGGCUCCAGACAAGAGGAAAUCCCACAGCCACAUUGGACAGAGGAAGAUGUUAGCAAUUCUGGGUGGCCCAAAGCAGAACUUUCUGCUGCCUUCUUUCCCGUGUUUGCCUCUCCACUGUAGACGGACCAGCCAGGAGAAGCUGGGGAAGGCUCCUAGAGAACCAGCAGGCAGCGCCCGGUCGGUCCGGAUCCCCAGGAGCAGAGGACGCCCGAGAGCAGUGGUGCUGGAGGAAACAUGGCUAGAGUUAGGCAGCGGCGGCUGGAAUGGGGCUGGAGGAUGUGGCGCAGGCGGUGGCUGCAGCUUCAGGCGGCUCUGUGUUUGCGAGAAGACCACAGAGUCCUCUCUCAGGCCUUUGGAAGAUGGUACCAGCGCUGGGCAGCCCGGGUGCCCGGGAAAGGGAGCACGGGCCAGGGAUCAGGGGCCAGCGUCGUAUCCCAUUAGUCACAGCCCGUAGGAGUGGGGGGCAGGACCUGCUCAGCCGUCUCUGUCAGGGGAAGAAGUCCAGCCCUGCCCCCAUCCCAUUCUACCCACCAGGGCCGACAAAGAAAGUCCAGCAAACUCAUCUGAUAAAGUUUUAAUGAAAAAUAGCCUCGGGGCAGAAACCCUGCCUUUGACAGACAAUAAAGUACUAUUCCUUUCCCAGUCUUCUUCUAGGUUGAAUCUGUGCCCUGCAUUGGAGGGCCCAGCCUACUCUGGGCCAGAUUUGGAGCAAUAUAUUUCAGUUUAUAGGUGUGACCUUUAACCGGAGGGGACCAGAAACUUGCCAUGUGAUAGAAAAAACCCAAAACUUGGGGAUCCAGAACAUAACUACCUUCAAAUGCUUUUAUGGAGAGAAGGAAUGCGCCUCAGAGGGGGGGAGAGGAGAGAAGAGCUGGCUCCAGGCAGAUUUAAACUCGCCCCAAAGGCUGGGCGACUGCAGCCGAGACAGAGGCUUCCAAGUGGCCUGGGCUUGUAAGCAGAACUUGGGAUGCUCUAAGGGGAUCCUGUGUAGGCCAUUGGUCUAAAACGACCACCAAAGUCCCCCCGCUGUGAUCUGGGGAGCUCCCACCUCCAGGGUCGGUGCUGGCUGGAACUGGGGGGUCACCCUUCCCAGGUUCUGCUUUGCUGCAAGUUUCCUUCUGUCCACCCCCCUUUCCUCCCUAGCUAGGGUUUCUUUCUGCUGACCUAGCACAGGCUCUAAGACAGCUGAUCUCAGCUCUAGAAGGGGAGGGGGUGGAAUGGGAGUGGGGAGGAUGGAGAGAGGCCCUUAACCCUGUAGCUGCCAGAUUGCACGAUUGACCCAAGUGUCAUGGAAAGUGCUAGUUGCUGAUAUUCAUUCACACACGAGACAAACGAGGAGAGGAAGGAGCGGGUCAGACCUGAGCAUAGUAGAUAAAGAGGUAUAAAAAAAGCAGCAGAUAUCAGCCAGGGUCGGUCAAAAGGCCCCCUGAGAGAAUGCUGGCGGGCCCAGCAGGGAAGGAAAUGAGGGGCCCCAAAGCUUCCCAGCCACGUGACCGGCUCCUUUUGGUCUAGCACUGACCCCUUUGCCCUCCAGGGUCAUAGCUCUUCUCCUCCUCUACCUUCUAAGACCCCUGAAGAGGAAAAAGGGCCCCUAUAAAUGCUUUGGAGUAGCUUGAAACCCCAUAAGGCGUUUUGUUUCAGAAGGGGAGUCUGGAAACAAAGCAGCUUAUGAGGUUAGUGUAGUGCAGAGAGCCAGUCCUGGAAUCCAGAAGGCGAGAGGGAGAGUCCACCUUGGGAGUUUCCGGCCAGUCCAGAAAGUAAAAAUGCCAGUAAAUAUGGCAGCCUCGAACAAGGCUCCAGGGGAAGGGAAGCAUUGCUCCAUGGGAGGCAGAAGAGUUCCUGCUGAGCUCUGCUUUCACAGAUGGGGAAACCGAGGCAAAGCCCAGCAUCCCUGGGAGGAGGCGGGGCAUUUCCAGGCACGUCUGGGACUGACCCUGCUUGUGGCCAGUUCUUUGGAAGGCCAGCACUCCAGCCCUGUGUUCAGGCUCACUUCCCCUCCCCAGGAGAACUGAGCCACUGGCUCUCCACGGCCUGGAGCAGGGAUGUUGCAGGACGGAGUCACUCCCCAACAAAAGGGGGAAAUAGUAUACGUAGAGUGUGGGGGAAAUCCCACAGGCCUUGAUAGUGCGGAACAGACUCAGGGCAAAUCCAAGCACAGAGGGGUGACCAGUCAGCUGCCCCCCCUGGGGGAGUGAUGGGAGCCAGGGCGAGGGUGAUGGGAUGGGAUGGAGAAGAGAACACUGGAGAAUCCUCGAAGGAGGGGAGUGGGGGGAGAGGAGCCUGGGGAGCUCAGGAGUCAGGCUGAGGAGGGCAAUGGGGACGAUUCCCUGAGCUUCCCCGUCUCUCACUGAGGGUCAGGCCGGCUGAGGAGCUCAAAGGUGUCUUCUAGGACCUGCCACAAACAGUUGUCCAAGGGGAACUCGUUAUCCACUAGGUUGACCAGGUGAUAGUUGUCGUGGAUAUACUGGAUGAUCAUCCGCGAGGGGGAUUCCUCUUCAUACAGUUUCCCCCAUUGCUCAAUCCACAGGGCAAAGGCCUCAUCCUAGACACACAGAGGCAAGGUCAGUGGGAGCCGGGCUGGGGCUGGACAAGGGGCAGGGCCGGAGCCCGACAUCCCUCCUCUUCUUCAUUGCCCCUUCCCUCCCAUCCCCCACUUGGCAAGAUGGCUGAGAGCCCAGAGAGCCUCAGCUAAGGAGUAAACUCCCCUUCUCAAAAUGCCACUUGAGCAGAAAGGGAGGCCCUGGCAGCCCAAGGAACGUGGCGAUAAAUGUGGAAAUAUGGCUAGAAGAAUUGCACGUUUAACAUGAUGUCUGGGAUAGGGGGAGCCGGGGAGGGAGGGAGAAACAUUUGGAACACAAGAUUUUGCAAGGGUGGAUGGGUGUUGAAAACUAUCUUUGCCUUGCAUGUAUUUGGGAAAAUAAAAAGCCAUUGUUUAAAAACAAAACAAAACAAAACAAAACAAAACAAAAAAAAAAAAAACCAAAAAAAAAAAAAAAAACAGGAACCGGACUGGCUGGGAAGGUAGGUCAGUUUAAA
ensembl:lncRNA